rnacentral:rRNA from 1 species
GAUGAGCGCUGGCGGCGUGCCUAAUACAUGCAAGUCGAGCGAACAGACGAGGAGCUUGCUCCUCUGACGUUGGCGGCGGACGGGUGAGUAACACGUGGAUAACCUACCUAUAAGACUGGGAUAACUUCGGGAAACCGGAGCUAAUACCGGAUAAUAUAUUGAACCGCAUGGUUCAAUAGUGAAAGACGGUUUUGCUGUCACUUAUAGAUGGAUCCGCGCCGCAUUAGCUAGUUGGUAAGGUAACGGCUUACCAAGGCAACGAUGCGUAGCCGACCUGAGAGGGUGAUCGGCCACACUGGAACUGAGACACGGUCCAGACUCCUACGGGAGGCAGCAGUAGGGAAUCUUCCGCAAUGGGCGAAAGCCUGACGGAGCAACGCCGCGUGAGUGAUGAAGGUCUUCGGAUCGUAAAACUCUGUUAUUAGGGAAGAACAAAUGUGUAAGUAACUAUGCACGUCUUGACGGUACCUAAUCAGAAAGCCACGGCUAACUACGUG